UACGGAGGGGCUAGCGUUGUUCGGAAUUACUGGGCGUAAAGCGCACGUAGGCGGCUUUGUAAGUUAGAGGUGAAAAGCCCAGGGCUUAACCCCUGGAAUUGCCUUUAAGACUGCAUCGCUAGAAUCGUGGAGAGGUAAGUGGAAUUCCGAAGUGUAGAGGUGAAAUUCGUAGAUAUUCGGAAGAACACCAGUGGCGAAGGGCGA
rnacentral:rRNA from 1 species